UAUGCCGCAAGUGCAGCCCUAAAAAAAAGCAAACAUAUAUAUAUAUGUACACACACACACACAGCUCUUCAAAACCAGGCAAAACUAACCUGCGCUACUGAAGUUACACCUGACUUCAGAAGUGCAGGGAACACCUGAUGGGGAGGGAGGUGGGGGUGGAGCCCCCGGGGUGCAAGAAAGUGCUCUUCAACCCUCUGGAGGCUGGUUUCCCAGGGACAUUCUGUGACAAUUCAUGGAGCAAUUCACUUAGGACUUGUGCUCUUUUCUGUAUGGUUGCUGGACCCCAGGAAAAGGUGGGCUUAAAAACUGGGCAAGAAUAAGAAACGGAAGGAAGCCAAUGCUCGAUGCCAUCUGGUGAAUGAGGAAAGGCAGGCACGUGAACCCAAGAGCUUGGCUGUCGUACAAGCCAAAGAUUACAUCACUCCGGCCGGGGUGGCUCCUGCUGGGGAGGGGACCAAGGGGGGAGGGGGCAGAGGGGUCCUUGCUCGACUAGGGAUAACGGAGCAACUCCCACAGCUGCCCCUGAGGCCCCAAGACAAAUGCAAAGAGAAGGGUGGGAGCGUAUUUCCCUGGGAAAAUACGGGUGGGAUGGCUCUGGGGUGACGCCCCUUAGCGCAGUGGUUCUCAAACUGGUGCCUGGAACGGCAGUAUCAGCAUCACCUGGGAGCUCAUGAGAACUGCAGGUUCCCAGGCCCCACUCCAGGCUUACUGAAUCAGAAGCUCUUGGCGUAGGGCCCAGCCAUCUGUGGUCCAGCAAGCCCUCCGGGUGAUGCUAAGGCCACUCUAGUUUGAAAACCACUGCCUUAGAGAAACGAGACUGGGGGAGCAGGGGUUAGUCCCUGGUGGAGAGAAGAAGUGGGACCCAGCUCCCUUGGAGCAUCCAUUCUCAGGGGGAAGGAGACCUUGGGGCUGCCUGCAGAGGCAGGAGAGGGUUCCCCGCCCCUGGUCCCCCACUCAGAGCCACUCACCCAGCUCCCCAGAAUCAUCUGGUAGGCCUUGAUGCCUAUCCGCUUGGAGGACAGCAGGAAAGGAGGCCGGUUGACGUGUUUGCAUUCCUUCUCUGGAGGAAGCCACAUACCGGGACCAGACGUGGCCUACGGCCUCCUGGUUACACUCACGGGACAGGCAUAUGAACCCCGAUUCAGACAGUGAGAGGGAACCGACCCAACGUGACCAGCCCCCUUAUACUUCAGAGAGGUGCAGUAACCCGUUCAAGGGUCCCCAGCCCGUCUGUGCAAGAGCUGGAAAUGGAAGCCUGGUCUCUGUGGCCCCAGCCCGUGCUGUUUUUUAUUUUUUUAA